AGGGCAGCCAUUUUGGGGCCUACAUAAACCAGGCAGUUUGGCUGCAGGAGGGUAGGCAGCAACAUUGCCUGGCCUUAGGGCUGCUGUGAAUGACCCGGAGCCUUGGAUCAACGGUGUCAAACUCUUCUGGCCCCCCGAGCCAAAGGAGUGAUAUGGGACUGGUCCACAGAUGGAUGAAUGGUGAGAAGCCAGCCCCGCUGGUGGGACCAGCCCCACAGAACCCUGUUCUGCCAUGCCAGAUUCAGAGCCUGCAGUGCCCACUCCAACUGGCAUGGGACUCAGCAGCAAGAAGCUUUAUAUCCCAGGCACUUGGCCACUGCCACAAGAACAAUGCCAGGAUGCUUCCCACAGUGCUGCUAGGGCUCCAGCUCCACUGCUCUUCCCUGGUUGUUUGGCUGGAGAGGGCAGCAGCACUGUGGCUUCUUCCCAUGAUGGCAGCCAAAAGCCCGGACAAGAGCAACAGUGCUGGAGCCACUGCAAACCAUGGGAAGAAGCCUGAUACCGCAGCUUGCUCCCACUGUGGCAGCAGCCACAUGCCCAUAAAAGAGCUGCAUGCUGAAUCCCCAGUCAUACCAUGGGAAGAAAUCUGCCACUGCAGGAACAAACUGUGGUGCCAGGCAUCUUCCCAUGCCACUGCUGGGCCUCCAACAUCGCAGGUCUUACCCAGGCACCUGGCUGCUCCUGCAGGCCCCCACCACAGCCAGUCAGGGUAAAAGUCUGCAGACUGGAUGACCUAGGCCUGCAGGCUGGAUCCAGCCUAUAGAGCAUAUGUUUGUCAGCUCUGUCCUAGAUAAUUAAAGCUAAGCAAGCCAUUCAAACCAAAAGAAGUGUCUGCACACAGGCAAGCACUGGUUUAACAAAUCUUAGAAAUCAAAUUCAACUUUCUGUAGAUAAGCCCUAAACUUCUCCAAAUCUACAUACAAUAGGCGUGGCUAAAUCAGAAGCCACAAGAGAUAUUAUUUCACCAUUUGGGAAAUGAUGCAAGUGAAAUCCUACUUAUGUUAUGCACAUUCAGCUAGUUACCUUCCACAACGGUAUCUUGAUGUGGUCUCUCCCUGUAUGCCCUCAUUAGUAGACACAUUUUGAGGUUUGGGACCUACUCUUGUAUCUUUUUACUAUUUGGAGUUAAAGUGUGCAUUUGUCAAAGGCAGGUAAACCAGAUUUUGUGUCUACCAGCCCUCCUUUUCCAAAACUGUAAGGUUUGUAAAUAAAGAAAUCUUGCAAAUAGGAAGGUAUGCAAAGGUCACUGAAAUGUCAGCAAUCACUGUUUGCCGUGCAGAGAUCUGCUCUCAGCUAUGGUAUGGAGACAUUGUUUGUGCAAAGAACAGGAGUUUCCAGACAGGCAUCACACUCUCUGGAUAGCCUUGUAACUCAUCAACUCCUCAAAGGGAUAGUACUCGUGAGCACAGUCCCUAUAAUGUGCUCAUGGGAAAAAUCAGAUACUUCCUAUAGCUAAACAGAGCCAAAAAUUCCUAAGCCUGAUGUUAAAGUAGGCCAGGGUCCAAAAGACCUAGAGUUACAUAGGUAACACAAAGAAGAUUGAGGGAGGAGCAGAGCAGAAACCCCUUGCAGGGUCUCUGGGGUAGACCUCCCUACCUAUGCCUCCCGCUGUUGGCUGACAUAGGUGGUAUAGCUCCUGCACAGCAGCCCUGGGUGAGCCUGCCUUCCCAACAGACUGGAUAGGUGGCGCCUCCCGUGGGUUGUUUUGCCAGUGACUGAAAUUUAACUAUUUUGGAUUUCAAUUGAUGUAAUAGUUAGGGUUUUUAGGUUUGUAUAUUUGUUCAUGUUCCCUCCCUAUAAUAAACCCGCUUUUAGUUGCAUAUUGCUUGCGAGUGGGGAACUCUCUCAUUAGGAGGGUAGUAGAGCACUGGAACAGGUUACAUAGAGAAGUUGUGCAAUCUCCAUCCUUGGAGAUUUUUAAGACCCAGGAUAGAAUAAUAUAGUUGGGGGGUGGUCCUGUUUUGACCUGAGUGAGGUCCCUUCCAACCCUAAUUUUCUAUGCUUCUAUGAUUCUAAACCACAUCAUUUUUUUUACACUGUGGUCACCCCUCAUCAUGUCAAGAAUUCAUUUCCAUGUCUAUUAAGACAAUUAUAUGGGAAAGUCAAUGAGACCUUAGGCAUUUGCUUGAAAAUGAGUUAGAACUGAAACCUUGCCAGCCAACGUCACUGCACAGUGGAGGAGUAAUGAUCUUUGGCAGAGGAUCUGCACGCAGUUGGCACAGCUGCUUUAGAGGCAAUUUGCAUUUUUUAUAGGAGCAAAGUCCAAGAAGUUCUUGCAACUUCCUAUCCCUUGCUGAAGUGGCUUUGCCAAAGAUAUGCGAGAAAAGGCAUACCAAGACGAGAACAAAGUACCAAUCACUUCAAAAGCUUAUCUGUGCUUCUAUUCCUAACCCACUCCUGAGACAUGAUGAUCUUAAGUUUUUCAGGUGACAGAAAUUCAAGCUGGUUAGUCAGGUUAGCUGGCAUAGCAACUUACUUUGAGAAUUAACAAGACCCUUAUAGAUUAACAAUCUAUAAACAUUGUGUGUAGUGUGAAGGCUUCUGAACACCUCCUGCAUGGACUUUGAAGGUACCUCACCACUGGCCUGAAAGACCUCCCUCGUCUAUUCCAGGACUUCCAAAAUGUAUGAAUCACUAACAAGUUGCUCAGCUUGAGACAGAAAUAAGGGAUACCUGAUUAGUCAAACAGGCUCCCUGUAGCAGGCUGCUGCCCAAGGCUCCAGCCAAGCUCUGAGCCGUAAUGGUAAUUGCAGGCUGCUCAGGAGGACUGGGUCAGCUGAGGGAGAUAAUUAGUGGUGGUCACAGGAAGCAAAAUGCUUCCAGGGAGGGGAAGCCAGAGACAAGAAGAAUGGAAAGGGAAAGAGAGUGAGAGUAUCCUGCCUGACCACUGGCUAUAAUACUAGACCAGGGACUUCCAGGAUCUGGGAAGAAACUUAAGUGCUGCAAGAUUGGGAGCAGCAUCAUGGAAGGGAGCUGAGUUGCAGACAGCCUGAGAGGAUAGACUGCAGUCAAGAAGGAGCAGCAGUACCUUGUCAAGAGAUGAAGAAGACUCAGACCUAAUUCCUUUUUCCCAGCCUGAACAAAGAAUCACUGAAGUACAGAAAGAGAAGCACACAUGCCAUCAAUAGUACUACUGCUGCAUCAAGGCACGGACUUCAAAUCAACAGUAAAUUUUUCACAUGGCAGAAAUUCGAACUGGUCAGUCCGGUUAGCUGGUUGUACUUUGCACAUCAUUAACUUUAACUGUAAGUGGGUGUUACAUAUUGUAAACUAUUAAUUGGGUUGGUUGGUUUUUGGUUUGUCUUUUUCUAGUUUGGUCAACUUCAGCCUACUUAUUAUUUGGUUGGGUUGUUCCUGUUUGUAAGCCACUGCUAAUCUAUUCACACUGUUCAUUCAGUGAAGUUCUCUGCUUGUUGAACUACUAUUCUAUGUGUUUUACUGCCCAAUUCUAAUGAGAGGGGAAUACAGGCCAUCCAAAAAUUUUUUGAACUAAUUUAAAAUAAAGUAGUGCACAUAGUUCACAGAUCAAUGCUGCCCUUAGUCCAAGUCCAACUUCACUAGUAAGGAAAGUACAUAACAGGAAAGAUUAACCUGUGAACCUCACCUACAAAACUCUUCAUAGGUCAAGUGAACUACAGAACCCAACUAUGGAAGACCUGUACCAUAAGCUAGCCCACCCACAGAAGUUUUUCACAAAACAUAGCACCAGUUUAGGAAAGGGAACAGUGAGAAACUCCCUGCUACACAGCCACCAAAGCUAACUAGCAUGCAUAGAGCAAACCAUCUACCCACAAAACUCCAGGAGUCAGAUAGCCCAAUUGUCCCACUAUAGUAGCACAGUACCUGAUAAGAUUCUUCACCCAUGUACCCCAGCCACUGACUCAUCCUGAGCCAAGUGGUACAAAUGAGCCAAGCAAAAGAGAAUUAUUUUGUUUUUUAAGCUUUCUUGUUGUGCCAACCAGAGCCCUACUAGCACUAUCAUGCCAAAACCUCUAAACAGCAUCAGAGGGCAAAGGACAUGGCUGACUGAAUAAGUUAAACAGAGUUCUCCUAUCAGCCACUUCAGUAGGACCAAGAAGUCCCACACCCUUUGAUAAAGAGGCCAGUACAAUGACUAAGAGGCCAAUUACUGUAAUUAAGAAAGAACUGCAGACUAGCAAAUAGGCACAAACUUAACCAGCAUGGCUAGGGACAGAAAUUACACACAAACUGGUGUAAGUGAUCAGAAACUAGUUCAAAUCCAUAAUGCAACAGAAGCUCAAUGCACAUAAACCAUUUGCAAAAUGGCUGAAACCAAUGUAAGAUAAACCUGGA